UUGCCCCAGUAACGGCGAGUGAAGCGGCAGCAGCUCAAAUUUGAAAUCUGGGGUCCCCGACCUCCGAGUUGUAAUUUGGAGAGGAACCUUCGGGGGGGAGCGCCGGCCCAUGUUCCUUGGAACAGGACGUCGCAGAGGGUGAGAAUCCCGUGCCAGGCCGGCUGCCUCCUCCCGUGUGAAGGCCCUUCGACGAGUCGAGUUGUUUGGGAAUGCAGCUCCAAGKGGGUGGUAAAUUUCAUCUAAAGCUAAAUACCGGCGGGAGACCGAUAGCGCACAAGUAGAGUGAUCGAAAGAUGAAAAGCACUUUGAAAAUAGAGUCAAAAAGUACGUGAAAUUGUUGAAAGGGAAGCGCUUGAGACCAGACUCGGGCCCGGGCAAACAUCGCGCCCCUCGGGGCCGUGCAAUUGCCUGGGCCUGGGCCAGCAUCAGUUGGCGUGGCGGGACAAAGGCGCGGGGAAUGUGGCUCCCCCUUUGGGGAGUGUUAUUAGGCCCGCGCUGGAUGCCGCCGACGCCGACUGAGGACCGCGCCUCGGCUAGGAUGCUGGCUUAAUGGCCUUCAGCGACCCGUCUUGAAACACGGACCAAGGAGUCUAACAUCUAUGCGAGUGUUUGGGCGCCAAACCCUUGCGCGGAAUGAAAGUGAGCGGAGGUGGGAACCCCCCAGCGGGGCGCACCAUCGACCGAUCCUGAUGUCUUCGGAUGGAUUUGAGUAGGAGCAUA
rnacentral:rRNA from 1 species